rnacentral:pre_miRNA from 1 species
CUCAUACUCCCUCCGUUCGGAAUUACUUGUCGUGAAAAUGGAUGUAUCUAGACAUAUUUUAGUUCUAGAUACAUCCAUUUCCGAGACAAGUAAUUCCGAACGGAGGGAGUACAUG